ACGAACGCUGGCGGCGUGCUUCACCCAUGCCAGUCGAACGGAAAGGCCCUGCUUUUGUGGGGUGCUCGAGUGGCGAACGGGUGAGUAACACGUGAGUAACCUGCCCUUGACUUUGGGAUAACUUCAGGAAACUGGGGCUAAUACCGGAUAGGAGCUCCUGCUGCAUGGUGGGGGUUGGAAAGUUUCGGCGGUUGGGGAUGGACUCGCGGCUUAUCAGCUUGUUGGUGGGGUAGUGGCUUACCAAGGCUUUGACGGGUAGCCGGCCUGAGAGGGUGACCGGCCACAUUGGGACUGAGAUACGGCCCAGACUCCUACGGGAGGCAGCAGUGGGGAAUAUUGCACAAUGGGCGGAAGCCUGAUGCAGCAACGCCGCGUGCGGGAUGACGGCCUUCGGGCUGUAAACCGCUUUCGCCUGUGACGAAGCGUGAGUGACGGUAAUGGGUAAAGAAGCACCGGCUAACUACGUG
rnacentral:rRNA from 1 species